GCCAAAAGCUAAUAAAAAGAUAGAUAAAAAUGAAAGGAACAGGGGGAUCUGGGGAACGAAGAACCUGGGGGAAAAUAGAAAAAGAGAGAUCAGAGAAACAAAAAAGAGAACGUCUUCUUCUUCAAGCAAAAUCACAGUAGCCAUACACCAUUAAAACGCCAUUUUUCUUCAUAACUUCACUAUGUAAAUCCCAAAAGAAACUCAGCUCUUCACCACCCUCGAACCCUUCCACUCUAGAGCCAUCCCUCUUCACCUCUCUUCCUCCUUUCUUUCGCUGCUGUUACGUCGCCAGAAACUAGCCGCAAACACUUCCCUAAACAGCCCCAAAAACCCCCGAUUCUAGCUUAAAAUUGACUCCAAAACCCUACCCGAACAGCCCCUGUUUUGCACCAGCAAAAUCAAAUCUAGAACCUGCAAACUCCAACUCGAAAUCUCCUCCAGAAAUAGUUCAAAAACGAGCUCAAAAACAUCUAGUUUUUCCAGCGAUAAUCAGCCACAAACCAGCUGAAAAUCAGCUCCAAACAAUCAGCCAAACACCUGAAAUUUCAGCGCCCAACCACCAUCAAAAACCGAUUGAAAUAGUAAAGCUUUCAGUCGAGGUCGCGGCGAGUUCGCGAUGCUCCGUUCGUGGCCUGGGAUGACGGCUCUGUUUGUUUUAACCGGUGAUACCCCGGUGCUGCAGCUUUUGGACCAUAUUGAGGUUGCUGCCUUCAGUCCACCAGGCGACUCGAGGUAGUCCUGCAGGCGUCCGCAGGCCUUGAUGUCUCCUUCUAUCCUUCCAUACUAUUUCUUUUAUGUAAUUCAAGAAUAACUUUGUAUUUAUAUUUUGAACCCCUAUUUGUAGUAUUCCUAAACAGUCUAUGAGAUUGUGACACUAGUUCUGGGUAGGUUUUGGUUAUGGAUUUGUAUCGGUAUUAUUAUUAAGUUGUUACAUUUCAUUCUUCCGCUUUAUUA